rnacentral:rRNA from 1 species
CGCCUUGCCAGCCCGCUCAGAAACUUAAAGGAAUUGACGGGGGCCCGCACAAGCGGUGGAGCAUGUGGUUUAAUUCGAUGAUACGCGAGGAACCUUACCUGGGCUCAAAUGUAUGUUGACGUAUUUCUGAAAGGGAUACUUCUUCGGACAAUAUACAAGGUGCUGCAUGGUUGUCGUCAGCUCGUGCCGUGAGGUGUCGGGUUAAGUCCCAUAACGAGCGCAACCCCUAUCAUUAGUUGCCAUCAGGUCAAGCUGGGGACUCUAAUGAAACUGCCUACGCAAGUAGUGAGGAAGGUGGGGAUGACGUCAAAUCAGCACGGCCCUUACGUCCAGGGCUACACACGUGCUACAAUGGUCGGUACAAAGGGUUGCCAAGCCGCGAGGUGGAGCUAAUCCCAUAAAACCGAUCGUAGUCCGGAUCGCAGUCUGCAACUCGACUGCGUGAAGUCGGAAUCGCUAGUAAUCGUGAAUCAGAAUGUCACGGUGAAUACGUUCCCGGGCCUU